rnacentral:rRNA from 1 species
AGAGUUUGAUCAUGGCUCAGAUUGAACGCUGGCGGCAUGCCUUACACAUGCAAGUCGAACGGCAGCGCGGGGGCAACCCUGGCGGCGAGUGGCGAACGGGUGAGUAAUACAUCGGAACGUGUCCAGUAGUGGGGGAUAGCCCGGCGAAAGCCGGAUUAAUACCGCAUACGAUCUCUGGAUGAAAGCGGGGGACCUUCGGGCCUCGCGCUAUUGGGGCGGCCGAUGGCGGAUUAGCUAGUUGGUGGGGUAAAGGCCUACCAAGGCGACGAUCCGUAGCUGGUCUGAGAGGACGACCAGCCACACUGGGACUGAGACACGGCCCAGACUCCUACGGGAGGCAGCAGUGGGGAAUUUUGGACAAUGGGGGAAACCCUGAUCCAGCAAUGCCGCGUGUGUGAAGAAGGCCUUCGGGUUGUAAAGCACUUUUGUCCGGAAAGAAAGCAUCCUAGCUAAUAUCUGGGGUGGAUGACGGUACCGGAAGAAUAAGCACCGGCUAACUACGUGCCAGCAGCCGCGGUAAUACGUAGGGUGCGAGCGUUAAUCGGAAUUACUGGGCGUAAAGCGUGCGCAGGCGGUUCGUUAAGACAGAUGUGAAAUCCCCGGGCUUAACCUGGGAACUGCAUUUGUGACUGGCGAGCUAGAGUAUGGCAGAGGGAGGUAGAAUUCCACGUAGCAGUGAAAUGCGUAGAGAUGUGGAGGAAUACCGAUGGCGAAGGCAGCCUCCUGGGCCAAUACUGACGCUCAUGCACGAAAGCGUGGGGAGCAAACAGGAUUAGAUACCCUAGUAGUCC